GGAAAAGGGAACGGAGUUCCAUAGGAACGGUGCAGCCCUAGAGAAGUCUUACAGACGAGCAUCAGGGGUGGGAGUAUGAACAGUGGAUAGACGCAAGUCUUCGGCAGAGCUAAGGGGCCUAGACAGGACAUAUUUGUGUAUUAGGGAGGACAGAUGAGCCUCGCCGCCGCAUUCAUUAUAGACUGCAGUGGGGCAAGUUUGAACCAUGUAAGACCACUGAGAAGCGGAUUGCAGUAGUCAAGGCGAUAGAGGACAGUGGCAUGGACCAGCACCUUAGCCACGUCUGGCGUUAAGUAGGGGCGAAUGUGCACAAUGUUUUUAAGAUGGAAACAUUAAAUGGCUGUAAGGUUCUAGGUACGGUUUUUGGUGGUUUCAGUAGAACAGCAGUUAGGUUACCA